UGGGGAAUUCUGGACAAUGGGCGAAAGCCUGAUCCAGCAAUGCCGCGUGUGUGAAGAAGGCCUUCGGGUUGUAAAGCACUUUUGUCCGGAAAGAAAUCCUUGGCUCUAAUACAGUCGGGGGAUGACGGUACCGGAAGAAUAAGCACCGGCUAACUACGUGCCAGCAGCCGCGGUAAUACGUAGGGUGCAAGCGUUAAUCGGAAUUACUGGGCGUAAAGCGUGCGCAGGCGGUUUGCUAAGACCGAUGUGAAAUCCCCGGGCUCAACCUGGGAACUGCAUUGGUGACUGGCAGGCUAGAGUAUGGCAGAGGGGGGUAGAAUUCCACGUGUAGCAGUGAAAUGCGUAGAGAUGUGGAGGAAUACCGAUGGCGAAGGCAGCCCCCUGGGCCAAUACUGACGCUCAUGCACGAAAGCGUGGGGAGCAAACAGGAUUAGAUACCCUGGUAGUCCACGCCCUAAACGAUGUCAACUAGUUGUUGGGGAUUCAUUUCCUUAGUAACGUAGCUAACGCGUGAAGUUGACCGCCUGGGGAGUACGGUCGCAAGAUUAAAACUCAAAUGAAUUGACGGGGUCAUAGCUGUUUCCU
rnacentral:rRNA from 1 species